GAUGAAGAACGCAGCGAAAUGCGAUAACUAGUGUGAAUUGCAGAAUUCCGUGAAUCAUCGAGUCUUUGAACGCACAUUGCGCCCCCUGGUAUUCCGGGGGGCAUGCCUGUCCGAGCGUCAUUGCUGCCCAUCAAGCACGGCUUGUGUGUUGGGUCGUCGUCCCCCCCUCCGGGGGGGGACGGGCCCUAAAGGCAGCGGCGGCACCGCGUCCGAUCCUCGAGCGUAUGGGGCUUUGUCACCCGCUCUGUAGGCCCGGCCGGCGCUUGCCGAACGCAAAACAACCAUUCUUUCCAGGUUGACCUCGGAUCAGGUAGGGAUACCCGCUGAACUUAAGCAUAUCAAUAAGCGGAGGA
rnacentral:misc_RNA from 1 species